GCUCCUCUUUACGAUCCUGAGCUGAAUCGUCAACAAAAGCUUCCUCGGAAACGCUAGUAUGCUGCUGUUCCUGAAAGUAAGAAAACUACAACGAGAAGAAAUUGGACAAUAUUAUUUAAAUCGAAUUUGUUACAAAAAGUUAUGAAAUACGUUUAAAAUUCUAUCAAAGAGCAUACUAAAGAAGAGGAACAAUUGUGUUGCAAGAAGAAAGAAAAUUCCGCAAUGGUUGUCGAAUGGUUACACCUGAUUACUUACAUCUCGUAUCUUCGACGAGACAUGAUUCCGCAACCGCGUCAUCAUGCGCAGC